rnacentral:misc_RNA from 1 species
GAUGAAGAACGUAGUGAAAUGCGAUAAGUAAUGUGAAUUGCAGAAUUCAGUGAAUCAUCGAAUCUUUGAACGCAUAUUGCGCUCUCUGGUAUUCCGGAGAGCAUGCUUGUUUGAGUAUCAGUAAACACCUCAACUUCCAUAUCUUUUUUGAAAUGGGAGUUGGACUUGAGUGAUCCCAACGCUUUUCCUCACCGAAAAGUGGCGGGUUACUUGAAAUGCAGGUGCAGCUGGACUUUUCUCUGAGCUAUAAGCAUAUCUAUUUAGUCUGCCUAAAAAACAGAUUAUUACCUUUGCUGCAGCUAACAUAAAGGAGAUUAGUUCUUGUGCUGACUGAUGCAGGAUUCACAAAGACAGGCUUCGGCCGACUUUGUAAACUCGAUCUCAAAUCAAGUAAGACUACCCGCUGAACUUAAGCAUAUCAAUAAGCGGAGGA